rnacentral:rRNA from 1 species
UUUAUGGAGAGUUUGAUCCUGGCUCAGGAUGAACGCUGGCGGCGUGCCUAAUACAUGCAAGUCGAGCGAACAGACAAGGAGCUUGCUCCUUUGACGUUAGCGGCGGACGGGUGAGUAACACGUGGGUAACCUACCUAUAAGACUGGGAUAACUUCGGGAAACCGGAGCUAAUACUGGAUAAUAUUUCGAACCGCAUGGUUCGAUAGUGAAAGAUGGUUUUGCUAUCACUUAUAGAUGGACCCGCGCCGUAUUAGCUAGUUGGUAAGGUAACGGCUUACCAAGGCGACGAUACGU